AAGGGAGAGGACAACACGGGAAUCUGCCUUGGGGACGAGGAUAGCGUCGGGAAACUGACAGUAAUACUCGAUAAUGUUUGCGGACCAAAGGUGUGACUCCGCCCCAAGAUGAGCCCGUGCCCCAUUAGCUAGUUGGCAGGGUAAUGGCCUACCAAGGCUGUGAUGGGUAGCUGGUGUGAGAGCACGACCAGCCUCACUGGCACUGAGACACUGGCCAGACACCUACGGGUGGCUGCAGUCGAGAAUCUUCGGCAAUGGACGAAAGUCUGACCGAGCGACGCCGCGUGCGGGAUGAAGGCCUUCGGGUUGUAAACCGCUGUCGUAGGGAAUCAAAUGCAUUGGGGUACUCCCCUUUGCUUGAGAGAUCCUAGGAGGAAGGAGAGGCUAAGCUCGUGCCAGCAGCCGCGGUAAGACGAGCUCUCCAAACGUUAUUCGGUAUUACUGGGCUUAAAGAGUUCGUAGGCGGCUCUGUAGGUGAGAUGUGAAAGCCCUCGGCUUAACCGAGGAACUGCGUUUCAAACCACAGGGCUUGAGGGAGAUAGGGGUAAGCGGAACAGAUGGU
rnacentral:rRNA from 1 species